rnacentral:rRNA from 1 species
CUUCCGUAGGGGAACCUGCGGAGGGAUCAUUACAAGAACGCCCGGGCUUCGGCCUGGUUAUUCAUAACCCUUUGUUGUCCGACUCUGUUGCCUCCGGGGCGACCCUGCCUUCGGGCGGGGGCUCCGGGUGGACACUUCAAACUCUUGCGUAACUUUGCAGUCUGAGUAAACUUAAUUAAUAAAUUAAAACUUUUAACAACGGAUCUCUUGGUUCUGGCAUCGAUGAAGAACGCAGCGAAAUGCGAUAAGUAAUGUGAAUUGCAGAAUUCAGUGAAUCAUCGAAUCUUUGAACGCACAUUGCGCCCCCUGGUAUUCCGGGGGGCAUGCCUGUUCGAGCGUCAUUUCACCACUCAAGCCUCGCUUGGUAUUGGGCAACGCGGUCCGCCGCGUGCCUCAAAUCGUCCGGCUGGGUCUUCUGUCCCCUAAGCGUUGUGGAAACUAUUCGCUAAAGGGUGUUCGGGAGGCUACGCCGUAAAACAACCCCAUUUCUAAGGUUGACCUCGGAUCAGGUAGGGAUACCCGCUGAACUUAAGCAUAUCAAUA